rnacentral:rRNA from 1 species
UACGUAGGUUGCAAGCGUUGUCCGGAAUUAUUGGGCGUAAAGCGCGCGCAGGUGGUUCCUUAAGUCUGAUGUGAAAGCCCACGGCUCAACCGUGGAGGGUCAUUGGAAACUGGGGAACUUGAGUGCAGAAGAGGAAAGUGGAAUUCCAAGUGUAGCGGUGAAAUGCGUAGAGAUUUGGAGGAACACCAGUGGCGAAGGCGACUUUCUGGUCUGUAACUGACACUGAGGCGCGAAAGCGUGGGGAGCAAACAGG